UAAUAAGUGUUUAUGGCACUUUUUAAAAUCCAUAUCCACCUUGUGUGCAAUGUUUUAAGAUCUCGCCUUUGUUUACAAAGACGAGGUUUUUUAUAUAUCAACUCAUAUCUUGAACUAGUUUGUCUGAAAAUUGUGAAUUACUUAAUUCAAAAUA
rnacentral:misc_RNA from 1 species